rnacentral:lncRNA from 1 species
CUUUAAUGCUCUGGUGUGAAAGGAGUGAUCACCUUUGACAUUGAAAGGCCAGCAAACUAAUGAGGAAAAAUCCCAUUUUCCUUCCAACAAUUCCAUUUUCUCUCUCAGAGAGGUUUCAGAGAUCGUAAAGCACUUGGAAAAGACACAUCAAGGUCACACGUGGAGAAGCCACUGAGCUGUAUCACUGAUGUGAUGAAACUGCCAUGCUGAGACCACAGAUUAGCUUUGCUAGGGAAAUUCAGGCAUCAG